ensembl:lncRNA
CACAGCUCAGCUGCUGCCCUGUACACACAGCCCUGGGAGCAGACCAAGCAGCACCUUCCCAGCAGCCUUUUGAACCCGAGACUCUCCCAGAUCCUCUCUUCGCCCAGGAAGUUUCCUUCUCUGUUGUCAGAUUUAGCACCAGACUCCCCCGUCAUCAGAUCCGAGCAGGCUCCCUGCUGCACAGUACAGAGGCUUGCUUAAGACAUUUGUCCUUGAAACUGCACCAAACUCUUGGAAGAGCCCAGAACGUUAGAGUAACGUGCUGGUUCGUCAAUGAAGCAAGCUGAAGUGAUGAAGAUGUAAGGAAAGCAUCCUACGCUAACACUGUCGCAGUCGGAAAGGUAAGGUCCUUGCCACGAGACUGGGAAAUGCUGAUGUUCUCUCGAGGUCUGCAGGAUGCUAUGCCCCCGUGCUACCCAUCCGAGGGUAAAUCAACCCCAUUGACAGGCUAGUCCGUCUAUUGUGUCAGGUUGUGUCUGUGAGAGUUUAGUUUAUAGCUGACAAUACGGUCUACACAAAGGUCUGAUGUUUUCCUUGUCUUGUCUUUUAAAAUGUAAAGCGGUAUUAAAAAAAAUAAUCAGUAGGGUUUCACUAUGUAGCCUGUCUCACUGUACAGUCUUGGCUGGCUUGGAACUUCCUAUGUAGAUCAGGCUGGCCUCAAACUCACGGACAGGCAGGACAGGUGUGCAUCACUGUGGUGCCUGGCACCAAAGCAUUUGGAAUGCUCUCCGAGUGUCUUCUUUUGUGGCGUGUACUGAUGGGUAGAAGUCACUGCGUGGGGGUGGCAGGGGCCAUGAGGCUCUUGGCGAGGCCGUGCCCUCAUUGCACUGAUGCGUUAUGCUGACCUGUAAGAUGUGGUUGGCAAGGUCUGCCUGUUUCUGAAUUCUGUAUUUUGGUAGAAUACAGAGUACAAAGUAUUACCAUUCUGUGCAUCUCGUCCCGCGCUUACAGCAGGCACGGCUCUCUGACUCCAGCUGCUAUAAACUUACGGACGCAUUAUCUAUUGAAUGCUCUGUUAUUUCCAUAAGCAAAGGUUGAGUUUAUUUCACUUCGUUUUUCAAAGGAAAACCAUAGAUGUCAUAGGUCUCAUCCAUUACUUUGCUGGUGUUAGGGGCAUGGUGCCUUCACUUGGUCCUGUGAACCACACAGUGAUGGUUGUCCCUGGAGGCUCUCAUGGAUGGCUUGGGGACUUGUUUCUUUCAGUCUUCCCACAUAGGUAGACCCGAGGCAGGGUGAACACCUACUGCCCCCUUCAGGUAGAAGCAGCAACAGAAUCUCUGCAGCUGAGUCCCUACUGAGCACCGCAGGAGGCCUAAUGUAGGAGUGCUUCUGCAGAAAGGAAUGCCCACUCUGUCCCCGGUCUCUAAGGUGCUUGCUUCCGAGCCUGCUGAGCGUGGCAGACUUCAGAAGAUAAUCAACAGGUUUUGGCUUCAGUGUGAAAAUAGCACUUUCAAACUGAAAUUCCUUUCACAAAGGACCAGAAUUUGUUUCAUUCACAAACUGGCAGUGUUUCAGAGGUGGGAAAAUAGGUUUCAGUUCUUAAAAGCAGAUAGGAAUGAGGGUAGCCUUAGCUUUGUUUUCUCAGGUCAAAUUCCUAAAAGGGAGUUCUGACCCCAGACCCUUUGGUCCCAUGAGCCUGAGGUAUGAUAUUGUUGCUAGGUGUAGUAUCCUUUUUUACUUCAAUUUUUUUCUUUUACACUUUAAGUCUGAAAUUAUAGCUAUUGUUUUUAGAAAGCUCAAGUGUGCUUUAAUUUAAAUUCAUGUUUGCUGUGCUCCUACGAAAAAAGGACUAAUUAUUUGCACAUUAAAAGUAGGCUGGCUUUUACAAAGUAUUUACCACAAGAUUGCUUUCAGUAGCAGUUCUCUUAGAGAGUUUGAAAUCUGAAAAUUUGAGAAAACAUCAGAGGUUCCUCAGCAGACUUUGGGCAACAGAUCCGUUUAAUGGGAGGCAGGUAAGAGGGUAGGAAUCAUGGAAAGAGGUCUUUAGUCAAUUGCAUGGUGUGUGUGUGUGUGUGUGUGUGUGUGUGUGUGUGUGUGUGUGUAUGUGUAUUAAUGGAUUCACCAUGCUUGGUGUCUGUUGACAAUCUUCUUCAUUUUCCUCCUACCAUAUUUUUAAGACAGGGACCCUCUUGCCUCCAUGUCCCCAUGACUAAGGUUUCAUGCACCUGAUGUUUUACAUUUGCGCCAGUGACUCAAACUCAAGUCUUCACGCUUGGGCACCCAUCAUCUUCCUACACCGAACCGUCUUCCCCAUCCAGGAAUUAUAUUUAGAAAAUCGUUUACUUUUGUGAAGUUUUCCAGAGAAAGACACCUUUAUUGUUGCCAGAGUGCAUCAGAGAAAAAGAAGAAAGAAAAAAAGAAAAAGAAAAAAAACCCACCAAGAAAUCAGGCCAGCUCGAGCUUGGGAAAGAUAAAUAAAAUCUAUUUGUUUGGUGGGUAGCAUUCUGCAUUAUGCAUGGACGUAAAAGUGAGGUUUGCUUUGAUCCUGUCUAUUAAAAGUUUAUUUUUAAACUCAGACUGGGCAGGAAUCCAGCAAUGCUCUUUGUCCUGCAACACAUCCUGGGCUUUGGGUCCCCAGCCUGGCAGAAGUGUGGCUAAGCAGGAGGAAGUAGGGAGCCAAUGGUGUGGAUGGUUGAUGGGUGCUCCAGGGGGGGGGGUUCCCUCCCUUUCCUCCCCUCCAGUUUUGAAAUUCAAAUUGAAUGCAAUUUUCAGCUCAUUUGAGCCAGAGUAUAGUGUUGCUGAGCUUCAGUGGUUCUUAAAUUCAAAACUCAUGGGAGGAAACAGAUAUCAUCUGUCACUGGGGUGGGAGCGAGGAGACUACACACUUUAUUCAGAGGAGGCAGACCCCUAGUCACUAAUUCCGACCUUCCGAGGACUAAUCAUUCACCAACCAACUGAUCAAGUAAUCAAUGAGACCUUCAAGCCACCCAGCUCCUGAAGUCUGGGAGUGGCUGCCCUGCUCUCCCCAGCUCUUAAGAAUAAUUGCUGGUCUAUUUUUGUAUCAUUGAUAUUUUAAUACCUUUCGUGGCAAGCUGAGACAGAAUAUCUUGGCAGUCUUUUUUUUUUUCCCUGCCCUUCCUGGCUGUUGGCUGUUUUUAUUGUUUCCAUCUUUAGUGACUUUGUCAAUGUUGCUUCCUUAUGACUGAGAAUUAGCAGACGGCUUGAGGCCGGCUCUGCAGGGACAAACUUUGAGCUACAUUUUACCAAAUAGACGGUUGGGGAAAAAAAAUACGCGUGUUUCUCAGGGCAAGCUUGAGUGCCAAUUAAAAUGGGAAGACCCACUCACGGGGUACUGGAGCCUGAGAGUGUGGCUUAUCUGCAGCGUGGAUGUUUCAGAGACCCUUGAGAAUGGCUCUCUGUGAAUUUCUGACACACCGGAUAUGUGCCCUGGGAAUACAAAUGGAUUUCAGCAAUGAUGACUUGUCGUCCUUCCUCUGAUUUCAGUCAUGAUGCGGGAUGGCGGCCCUGAUCCUGAUAUGUGUGUUACAAGCUUUGACCCUAGUGCUUAGCUUUGCACAUUUAGUGUGAGCCAAAAUUUCCAAGGGACGAUGGAAACUGUUAAUUAGUUCUUCUUAGGCAAAAUUUUUCCCAAAACUCCAUGGAAAUUUUUAUGAUAAAUUAGUUCUCAAUAUAUGGCCAUAACACUUAGAAAUGCAAAAUGUACACAAUAAGACUAUGAUCUGGCCGGAUACAUACUUGUGUGUGUGUGUGUGUAUGUGUGUGUGUGUGUGUGUGUGUGUGUGUGUGUGUGUGUGUGUGUG